rnacentral:lncRNA from 13 species
GAAAAGGGCCUCGAAAAUCGCGGGUCUGGCACGGCUGGGGCGAAGGCAGAACGAUCUGGAGGGCGGCCGGGAUUGGAAGUCCAAGAAGGGCUUCGGCCAUCCCACAUUCUCUGCGGGGACGGGCUCAGGACGCGGAGGGUCGCUCCGCCGGGGAAGGGGCCGGCUGGCUGUCUUGGCCAGAGGGGAACCGGACGGGAUGACCUCAUCCGUGGCUCCAGCCUGGAAUGCGGCGGUCGGGAAGGGGGCAGGGUGCCUGUCCAUCUCCCUGGGCCCCCCCACCCCCCACUUCCCGCUCUCCGCGUGGGCCUCGGCGGAGGGGAGACAUUCCGCGGCGUCGCCCGCCCCCCGCCCCGGCCCUUCCUUUCCAAGAGCAGGAAGGCGCGGAGAUGGCCCCCGUUCGGCCCCUCGGCUCGCCCCCUCCGGGCGCAGUUUGGCAGCUCAGCCCCGUCCGAUCUUCUGCCCUGUCCGCCCGCCCGGAACGCACGACAGCCUGAAAGCUCGGAGUUUCCCCGCGCGGCUCCGCGGCCGUGCCGGGCCUUUCCGUGCGCUCCUGGAGGCGCCUCUCCCGGGCGGGUCCCCUCCCCGUCCCGGCCUCGGGAGCCUAGGAGGGUGCAGAGCCCCCGCAGGCGCCGGGACCCACCGGCCUCCACGGACCGCCCCCGCCUCGAGACCCGCGCGCCGCGGCUGUUACCUGGUUCCGUGAACCCCGGGGGCGCGGGACGAGGGCGGACUCGUCGUCGGCAGCGGCGGCGGCCGCGCGUCCCGGCUGGCAGCCCGGGAGAGUCGCUGGGCCGGUCUGCGCCGCCCUGGCCGCAGGCUCCGCGGGCUGGAUCCGGGGGCGGGGGCUGGGUGUGGGCGCUCCCGCCUCCCGCCCCUCUCCUCCCGCCCGCGGGCGGGGCCCAGACCUCUCCCCGGCCCCCUCCCCGAACCGUACAUGCGGCCGAGAGUUGGCAAGGGGGACACGGCAGCGGGGUGGCCAGGCCAGGCCUCUGCUCGCCGCCCCAGACAGGGCCAGCCGGGGAACGCGCGGUCUGCCCCGGGGAGACGACUCCGGUCCCCGGCCGCCAACCCCUCCCCACAGGUUCCCCGCGUGGGCUUGGGGCGUCCAGGCCUGAUGAGCUCUCCUCCCUCCUGGGCCCUCCAGCCGCUCCCUGCGGGUGUUUGGGGAACCAGGAAGCUCGAUCUGAGGCCCUGAAUGCCUGGGCCUUUAAACCUUGA